UAGAGUUGUCAACUGGGCUGGGCCAGCCCGGCCCGGCCCAGGCCCGGUUGAGCCCGUAAGGAGUUAGGCCCAGCCCAGCCCAAGCCCACAUUUGAAAUGGGCCGGUCCUGGGCCGGGCUUUUUAUAAAAUAUCGAACCCAGCCCGAUUCAGGACCACAUGUCUAGUGGGCUUGGGCCUCAAAUGGGCCGGGCCUCACAUGGGCUUAUGCUGGGUCGAGUAUGAUGGGCUUAUACUGGGUUGUACUUCGAAUGAGCUUCAGUUGGGUACGAAUGAGUUUUCAAUUUUAGAUUGUUUUAAAUUUGUAAUUAUUAUCUUUAAAUUAUUUUGAGCUUAUUUAUAUAUUUGACAAAUGGUCCUUGGGCUUUAAAUAGGUUUAAUAUUUUAUUGGGUUUAAUAUUUUAGUAUUGCUAAAUUGUGUAGGGAAUUGAAUAUUGAAUAAGAGGAAUAAAUAUAUAAAUAAUAUUUAACCUAAAUUAUUGGGCUUGGACCGGUCCUGGGCUGGGCCUGGUCCUGGUCCUGGGCCGGGCUUGGGCUGGGCUUCUAACGAUCCUGGUCCUGGGCCGGGCUUGGGUUUGAUAAAUAGCCCAAAUGGAGCCCAUUUCAAAGGGCUGGCCCGGCCCAACUAACCCAUUCGAUCAAAUGGGCUGGUCCUGGGCCGGCCCAUACCGGGCUUGGGCCGUUCGGGCUGGGCCGGCCCGGCCCAGUUGACAACUCUA
rnacentral:lncRNA from 1 species